rnacentral:misc_RNA from 1 species
CCGAGCGCAGCGAGCCCCGCUCGGAUUGGGGCGAGUCCCGCCUCAAGCGCCGAGUGGGGCCCUCCUCCCCAACCCUUUGAGUACGACGCGACGUUGCCUCGGCCCCCGCGCUGGCGGGGGCCUGAGGACCAGCCAAACGCUAUCCUUUGCGUGCGGUCGGAGUCCUUUGAACGAAGCA